CUAACUAAAAUAUGUAUAGAGUUGGAACGUUUACCUACGUUUGCCGCUAGGGGCGCUGUUCUAACUGCAUACAAAUUUCAGUUA
rfam:Bombyx mori DNA, contig: Bm_scaf51_contig26581, strain: p50T/Dazao, build 2, whole genome shotgun sequence.